GAGGGAUCAAAAGUGGAAGAAUCU
rnacentral:miRNA from 1 species